UCUCCCUCUCCCUUCCACUCUCUCUAAAAGUCAAUGGAGAAAUAUCCUCGGGUGAGGAUUAACAAACAAAACAAAAGGAGUUCAGCUGCUGGCUAUGGCAGCCGAGGUAUUUCAGGCCAACCCUCCUGCUGAAGACAACUAUGAAACCGCACAAGUAGCAUGAGUCUGCGGGCGUUCCGGGUCUGAGCCAGUGAACAGCUGGACGGGCUCCCGUGAGCGACAGAGGCAGAGGUUCCCCAAUGAGUCAGAUACAUCAGUAGCCGCCUGAGCAGGAAAUGCACUGCUCGGCUCACCCAAACUUAGGGGCACCUUACACUCUUCCAGUUUCUUCUUCCUGAAACAUCAUUCUGAGAGUACUUGGCAGCCUGACUUGAAUAUUAAUUCUCAGCAUGCACUGAACUCAAUUACCACUGUCCCAGAAUUUUAAUAACACAAUUUUAAUGUCAGUUUUCAUCCAGGAGCUGUGUCCUUGGAUUGCACUGUGGGGACUUCCUGUAGAGCCUUCUCCUUCACAAGAUGGCACGGGGCUGCCAGGGAAUUCGUGUUCCCAGGCCAGUGGGUGACUCUGUGGCCCUGCCAUUCGGGAUCGAGGCGCCGUCCAGUUCAUUUCUCUACGUUGAAGGCAGCAGUUCUCAAAAUGGUUCCUACCCCAGGGGGGUCAGCGUUGCCGGAGAACUUGCUAGAAAUACAAAUUCCUGGGUUCCACCCAGACCCGCUGACUCAGAAGCAGCAGAGAAGGGUGCAGUGAUCUGUAUUUUAACAAGCUCCCCAGGGAUUCGCAUGCGGUUGAGAACCGCUGAUCAAAUCAGCCUGCGUUGCAAGGGGGGAGGGUGCUCAGAAGAGGUGCGCCACUGUCUUCCUGUGUCAGUGCGGAAGUGGCACACAUCGCUUCACUCAUACGCCAUCUUGGUAAAAUCUUGGUCACAUGGCCAUGUCUAGCUGCAAGGGAGGCUGGGAAGUGUACCCUAGCUGGGCACAUUCCGUUAUUAUAAGAGAAGGGGAGAAUGUAUUUGAGAGGAUUACUAAGUCUUCACAGCCAACAAGGAUCAGAUACAAAACUCCCAUUGUGCAAAGGGGCUUCCUUCUGGAAUUUCUCCUGUGUUCACUGGCCUUCUGGUUCAUGGGCUAGAACCGCGUAGUUUUCAUUAUUGAGGCUUUGAACUAUGUUUUAAUAUCUAGUUCUCCCUUCAGUGCUCUUUUAUUUAAAGUUUAUUUUUGCUCUU